GCCCAUGUAUGUUCAGACAGGUCAACAAGUUGCAGACAUUCUUACUAAAGGUCUAAGUCAUGAUCAGUAUUCAUACCUACUCAGAAAGCUUGGUGUGACCAACAUUUUGCACCCUUCAGCUUGAGGGGUAGUGUUAAAACUCAUGAGAAUAUAUUAUGUAAAUAACAACAACUCAGUUAGUUGGAACAGUUCCAUUGAUUUGUUAGCUAGUGGAUUAGGUUAUUAG
rnacentral:lncRNA from 1 species